AGUGAACGCUGGCGGUAGGCCCAACACAUGCAAGUCGAACGGCAGCACAGUAAGAGCUUGCUCUUACGGGUGGCGAGUGGCGGACGGGUGAGGAAUACAUCGGAAUCUACUUUUUCGUGGGGGAUAACGUAGGGAAACUUACGCUAAUACCGCAUACGACCUACGGGUGAAAGCAGGGGAUCUUCGGACCUUGCGCGAUUGAAUGAGCCGAUGUCGGAUUAGCUAGUUGGCGGGGUAAAGGCCCACCAAGGCGACGAUCCGUAGCUGGUCUGAGAGGAUGAUCAGCCACACUGGAACUGAGACGCGGUCCAGACUCCUACGGGAGGCAGCAGUGGGGAAUAUUGGACAAUGGGCGCAAGCCUGAUCCAGCCAUACCGCGUGGGUGAAGAAGGCCUUCGGGUUGUAAAGCCCUUUUGUUGGGAAAGAAAAGCAGCAGGUUAAUACCCCGCUGUUCUGACGGUACCCAAAGAAUAAGCACCGGCUAACUUCGUG
rnacentral:rRNA from 1 species